GAUUUCUGGUCUGACAUGCCUGGCCCGCCGGGGUCACCCGUGUGAGUGCCGGUGCGCGUCUACCAUCCUUCUGGAAAACGGCCUUACCCUUCACUGGGCCGAGGUCGCGAUCCAGAUCUUUUACUUUGAAAAAAUUAGAGUGUUUAAAGCAGGCUUACGCUAUGAAUACAUUAGCAUGGAAUAAUAAUUUAGGACUUCUGUUCUAUUUUGUUGGUUUCUAGGAUGGAAGUAAUGAUUGAUAGGGAUAGUUGGGGGUGCUAGUAUUCCGCGGCCAGAGGUGAAAUUCUUGGAUUCGCGGAAGACUAACUUAUGCGAAAGCAUU
rnacentral:rRNA from 1 species